rnacentral:rRNA from 1 species
CUACGGGCCGCUGCAGUGGGGAAUAUUGCACAAUGGGCGCAAGCCUGAUGCAGCCAUGCCGCGUGUAUGAAGAAGGCCUUCGGGUUGUAAAGUACUUUCAGCAGGGAGGAAGGGAGUAAAGUUAAUACCUUUGCUCAUUGACGCUACCCGCAGAAGAAGCACCGGCUAACUCCGUGCCAGCAGCCGCGGUAAUACGGAGGGUGCAAGCGUUAAUCGGAAUUACUGGGCGUAAAGCGCACGCAGGCGGUUUGUUAAGUCAGAUGUGAAAUCCCCGGGCUCAACCUGGGAACUGCAUCUGAUACUGGCAAGCUUGAGUCUCGUAGAGGGGGGUAGAAUUCCAGGUGUAGCGGUGAAAUGCGUAGAGAUCUGGAGGAAUACCGGUGGCGAAGGCGGCCCCCUGGACGAAGACUGACGCUCAGGUGCGAAAGCGUGGGGAGCAAACAGGAUUAGAUACCCUAGUAGUC